AACACCCACAAACAACGUCACGACGCAACGUGGUUAAACAGUACGUUUAUUAAAGUAACUGGGUGAACGACAUCGGAGCGGACUGCAAAUCGCAACGCUACUUUCUCGAGUGCAGAUACUCUUCGAGACGGCUAAACAACGUGUCCAACUCGCUGAGACCUUUCCGCGUGCCGUUAUCCGAUUUCCUUUCCGCCUCCUGAGACAGCCGACUAAUCACGGACUUAUCUCCGCAACCUAACAGAGGCUGGGAGCCCGACAAAAGUAAAACAGCGUGCUAUGAACACGUUGUUACCUCUGCGCGGACAGCGCCGCCACAGAGACACUUACGCAUUGCCGCAUGUCUUUGUAGAUGGAUUCUAGCGUCGAGCGCAUACUAUGCAAUUCCGUCUUAAGUCCAGGAUAGACGUGGUCGCCUGCGGGGAACACGAUCUCCAGAUACCGCCUCAACAACCAGUCCAUGACGCUGCAUCGCCAACAGCCUUUGACCACCGUACCGUCGAGCCACACGGAGUAGUCGUCCUCACGUUGCUACAAGAGGAAAACUACGUCACUCGACACGCGGAAAAGAAAGACCGUCGCAAUAAACCGUACCUACGUGACCUACCAACGUAGGUUUUACUCGAUGAAAGGUGACGCGGAGAUCUUGCAAUCUGGUCGCGUAAUCCUCCGGACGACACUGCGGCUUUGUAUUCUUUAUCGUCGUCGUCGUCGUCGUCGCCGCCGGCUUCGCCUCCUCGGAAGCGCCUAGAAAAAAGACGAUCAGGACCAGAGAGGAAGAGACCAUCACCGACAGCAUCGCCGCAGCAUGCCGCCCCAAUCCGCCGCCCAACUGCGCGUCCCAGAUACCACUCGUAGACUGUCAGCCUCGCGAGGAGACACCGCGGACCGGGGAAACGGAUAAGUUUACGAACAGAAAUCUCAAGAGAAAGACGCUGACCCGGCAAGUACCGUCACGGAGACACGGUGGUUUUUAUUGAAUUUCCAGUGUAUCGAGCCACCGUGAUGCAGGUACGGUGGUUUUAUGUGAAGUGCCGCUAUCUAUAGGCGAUGUGUUCCCUGACGGUGUGUGUUUUUUGGGGAUAGACAACGUGGUUCUUGUACGUGGUUUUUACCCUGCUCAAUAAAGUCACGUUUUCCUUACACGGUGUUGUGUC
rnacentral:sRNA from 1 species